rnacentral:misc_RNA from 1 species
GAUGAAGAACGUAGCGAAAGGCGAUACUUGGUGUGAAUUGCAGAAUCCCGUGAACCAUCGAGUCUUUGAACGCAAGUUGCGCCCGAAGCCAUUAGGCCGAGGGCACGCCUGCCUGGGCGUCACACGUCGUUGCCCCCCCAUCUACUCCUUCGGGAUUGCGGGGGGCGGAUGAUGGCCUCUCGUGCGCCUCGUCGCGCGGUUGGCCUAAAUGCCAAGUCCUCGGCGACGCACGCCACGACAAUCGGUGGUUGCGAAACCUCGGUUGCCUGUCGUGUGCGGUCGUCGCGCAUCGAGGGCUCGAAAAAAUUGCCGGGCUCCGGCUCGGCUUUCAACGCGACCCCAGGUCAGGCGGGGUUACCCGCUGAAUUUAAGCAUAUCAAUAAGCGGAGGA